rnacentral:rRNA from 1 species
GACGAACGCUGGCGGCGUGCCUAAUACAUGCAAGUCGAACGCUUCUUUCCCCCCGAGUGCUUGCACUCAAUUGGAAAGAGGAGUGGCGGACGGGUGAGUAACACGUGGGUAACCUACCCAUCAGAGGGGGAUAACACUUGGAAACAGGUGCUAAUACCGCAUAACAGUUUAUGCCGCAUGGCAUAAGAGUGAAAGGCGCUUUCGGGUGUCGUUGAUGGAUGGACCCGCGGUGCAUUAGCUAGUUGGUGAGGUAACGGCUCACCAAGGCCACGAUGCAUGGCCGACCUGAGAGGGUGAUCGGCCACACUGGGACUGAGACACGGCCCAGACUCCUACGGGAGGCAGCAGUAGGGAAUCUUCGGCAAAGGACGAAAGUCUGACCGAGCAACGCCGCGUGAGUGAAGAAGGUUUUCGGAUCGUAAAACUCUGUUGUUAGAGAAGAACAAGGACGUUAGUAACUGAACGUCCCCUGACGGUAUCUAACCAGAAAGCCACGGCUAACUACGUG